AUGAUAGAAGAGUUGGAAGCACUGAGGAAAAACAAGAUGUGGGUGCUAACCACAUUGCCGGCAGGAAAGAAAGCAGUGAGUUGUAAGUGGAUCUAUACAGUGAAGCAGAAUCCUGAGGGGAAGGUGGAACGGUAUAAGGCUAGAUUGGUCGCCAGAGGAUAUAGUCAAACUUAUGGAAUGGACUAUGACGAGACGUUUGCUCCAGUGGCAAAGAUGAACACAGUAAGGAUAUUGGUUUCCUGUGCUGCAAACUUUGGGUGGAAGUUGCAUCAAUUAGAUGUCAAGAAUGCCUUCUUGCAUGGUGAGUUGAGGGAAGAAGUGUACAUGGAGAUACGACCAGGUUUUGGUACUUCACAGACCACGGGGAAGGUAUGCAGGCUGAAGAAAUCCUUGUAUGGACUGAAGCAAUCGCCGAGGGCUUGGUUUGAUAGGUUCAGAUGUGCUGUCCGUGCUAUGGGGUAUGGUCAAUGUAAUGGUGACCACACGGUGUUCUACAAACACUCACUCUCUGAUCGGAAGAUCACCAUCCUUGCAGUUUAUGUGGAUGACAUUAUCAUCACUGGAGAUGAUAAGGAGGAAAUAGAGAGAUUGAAGGGGUGUCUAAGCAAGGAGUUUGAGGUAAAGGAUUUGGGCAACCUAAAAUACUUCCUUGGCAUUGAAGUGGCUCGGACAGAGAAGGGAAUAUCUUUGUGCCAACGGAAAUACACCUUGGAUCUCUUGAGUGACAUGGGCAUGAUGGGAUGUCGUGCAGCCCCUACGCCGAUUGAACAAAAUCAUCGAGUGACAGCUCAAUCAGGUGAGCUGGUGAAUAAGGAAGAUUAUCAGAAAUUAGUUGGGAGGUUAUUGUACUUGUGUCAUACCAGGCCUAACAUUACGUAUGCCGUGGGUGUGGUGAGCAGAUACAUGCAUGAACCAAGGAGUGGGCAUCUUGAUAUUGUGCACAGAAUUCUGAGAUACUUGAAGGGGACUCCGGGUAAAGGGUUGUGGUUUGCGAACAGUGGACAUCUUGAGGUGGAUGGCUAUAGUGACUCUGAUUGGGCCAGUUGUCAAGAUGAUAGAAGAUCAACUUCUGGCUACUGUGUUUGUGGGAGGAAAUUUGGUGUCAUGGAGAAGCAAGAAACAGGCAGUUGUGUCUAG
rnacentral:rRNA from 1 species